CCAUGCUUUUCCUACAAGCAGCUCUUUCCUCACUACUGUCAACCCCAUUAAGCCCUUUUCUGGGGAGUGCAGUGUUUUUUACAUCUUAUGUCCGCCCUGUUAAGUUUUGGGAGCGAGAUUACAAUACCAAACGUGUUGACCACUCCAACACACGACUGUCUUCCCAACUUGAGAGAAAUCCAGGUGCUGACGAUAAUAACUUGAACUCGAUCUUCUAUGAACAUCUGACGAGAUCCUUGCAGCACUCUCUGUUUGGAGAUUUGGCUCUCGGUCGUUGGGGAGUUGUUUCUCAAGGGGACUGUUUUGUAUUGGCUUCAGACAAUUUGAACUGUCUUGUACAUGUAAUAGAACUAGGCAAUGGACUGGUAACUUUCCAGGUACGAGGAUUGGAAUUUAGAGGAACUUACUGUCAACAACGAGAAGUGGAAGCAAUCAAUGAAGGAGUCGAAGAAGAUGAAGGCUGCUGUUGUUGUGAGCCUGGACAUCUUCCACACGUCCUAUCAAUGAAUGCAGCCUUCAAUCUCCGAUGGUUAGCGUGGGAAGUGUCUGCUACGAAGUACGUGCUUGAAGGCUACAGUAUAUCAGAGAAUAGUGCAGUCUCCAUGUUGCAAGUCUAUGAUCUUCGGAAAGCUCUGAUAACAUAUUAUGUUAAAAGCAUGAUAUACUAUACCAUUGCAUCACUGUGGCUGGAAGAUUGGCUUCAAUCCGAAGUUUUACAAGAAGCUUUCCACUCCACUUUAGACAAGAAUUAUGCUGACUUAGAUCCAAUAUUCAACUUUAAUAUUGAUGAAGAUUAUGACUUUAGAGUUUCUGGGAUCUCUCGAUACAGCUUUUGCAAUAUAUACCUCGAGUGGAUUCAGUUCUGUGCCUCCAAGAAAGAAAAGGUUCAGGCCCUAGACACCCAUAAGGACUCUGUUCUUGUGUCUUUAUGUUUUGCUCUAAGCCUCUUGGGUAGAAGGACUCUUAGUGCAGUGUCUCACCACUCCUUUUCAAGUGUGGACUUCCUUCUGUAUGGUCUACAUGCUCUUUUUAAAGGGGAUUUUCGUAUCACAUCUCUGAGGGACGAGUGGGUUUUUCAAGACAUGGAACUAUUAAGAAAAGUGGUAGCACCAAGCAUUCGCAUGGCUUUGAAACUUCAUCACGACCACUUCUUAUCAGCUGAUGAGUAUGACGAUUCUGCCACACUCUAUAAUGCCAUUAGCACCUACGAGAAAACACUUGUAAUAUCACACGAAGCCGAUCCCACGUGGAGGAAUGCUGUUUUGUCAGGUGUUCCUUCUUUACUUGCUCUUAGGCACGUGUUCGAUGAUGGUGCUGAUGAAUACAAGAUAAUAAUGUUGAACAAAAGACAUCUGUGCUUCAGGGUUAUAAAGGUGAAUCGUGAAUGCGUACGAGGACUGUGGGCAGGACAGCAGCAAGAACUAGUCUAUUUGAGAAAUCGUAACCCUGAACGAGGAAGCAUCCAGAAUGCCAAACAAGCUUUAAGAAAUAUUAUAAACUCUUCCUGUGAUCAGCCUAUUGGUUAUCCUAUUUAUGUGUCAUCUUUAACCACAUCAUAUGCUGAAACUAAUGAACAACUGUGUCAGGUUGUUGGUGGACCAGUCAGUUUUGGAACUUUUAAAAAUGCAGUUGUUCAGCUUUGGAACAGACUUAGAACUCGAUGUGGAGAGGGAUGCUCCAGUGGAGGCACUGCAGUCCAGGAUGACGGUGGUUUCGAACGUUUCUCUGUGUUCUAUGGUACCAAUGUUGUGGAAAGUGCACCUCAAACACAGUUCAGCCACUCCAGUGUGCAGAGUGGAUCUCAUUCUGGAGAUGCUGCAAGCGAACUCGGUGGGCAAAGCACGGGGAGAGGUAGUGCAGCUAGCAGUAUCGGUCGUUGCAGCACCUUCAGCAGUCUUGGCCAGAACAGUGCCAGUCUUACACGCACCAGUCUCAGCAAUGUUGCAGUUUUUUCCGCACCUCUUGGCAAGACUGGAAAUCCUAAUCUAGUCACACACUCUUCUUUUCGAGCAUUCCCUACAGAACUGGCCAAAUUGGCAAGAACUUAUGAACAGCAUUCUAGUGACCUUCCUAGUCAGUCUGGUUAUGUUACAGGUAUUGGAAUAGAUGGCCAAAGCCAACAGCUUAACGACAGUCUUGGACAAGAUAGUAUCGUAUAGUGACUUUAAAAAACUAGUACUAUGGUACAGGAAUUAAUAGGAUGAUGAUUUCCAGCAGUAGUGUACAGGUUUUUAAGAACACUACAAUUGAAAGGCAAUAUUAGGGUCGCUAUGAUUAAGUUAUUCAGUAAAGAUAACCAAAGAGAAAUAUCAAUGAUGCUAUACAAGUUAUAUUAAGCUGAAGAUGUUACUGUCAAAUUACAUAGCAUCAUUUGAGGAGAGAAAAAAAAAUUGUGAGUUAUAUUUGGGUUAACAGGUAUUGUUUUAUGAAAUAAAACUAUCUAUAGUCCAUUACAUAGUGAGAGUGUAGCAUAAUGUGCAAGACAGAAGAGUACUUCUAUUAGUACUUGACUUAUAAUACAUCAGGUUAUGAGAGAACAUUGUUGGUUGGAAGAGAGUUAUUAUGUAUUAGUGUAUGAGUAAUUACACUUCUGAUUGUGAGAGGGGAACAUUGUUAGUUAGAAGAGAGUUACUUGGUAUUAGUGUGUGAGUAAUGACACUUCAGAUUGUGAGAGAGGAACAUUGUUAGUUAGAAGAGAGUUACUUGGUAUUAGUGUGUGAGUAAUGACACUUCAGAUUGUGAGAGAGGAACAUUGUUAGUUAGAAGAGAGUUACUUGGUAUUAGUAAUUAUACUUCAGGUUGUGAGAGAGAAACAUUGUUGGUUGGAAGAUAGUUAUUAUGUAUUAGUAUUAAGUAAUGACACUUCAGGUUGUGAGAGAGGAACAUUGUUGGUUAGAAGAGAGAUAUUAUGUAUUAGUAUUAAGUAAUGACACUUCAGGUUGUGAGAGAGGAACAUUGUUGGUUAGAAGAGAGAUAUUAUGUAUUAGUAUUAAGUAAUGACACUUCAGGUUGUGAGAGAGUGACAUCAUUGGUUAGAAGAGAGAUAUCAUGCAUUAAUAUUAAGUAAUGACACUUCAGGUUGUGAGAGAGAAACAUUGUUGGUAAGAAGAGAGAUAUUAUGCAUUAGUAUUAAGUAAUGACACUUCAGGUUGUGAGAGAGGAACGUCGUUGGUUAGAAGAGUUACUUGGUAUUAGUGUGUGAGUAGUGACACUUCAGAUUGUGAGAAAGGAAUGUCGUUGGUUAGAAGAGUGACUUGGUAUUAGUGUGUUUGUGUGUGUGUGUGUGUGUAAUGAUGCUUCACGUUGUAAUAGAGGAACAUUGUUGAUUGGAAGAGAGUUAUUAAGUAUUAGUGUGUGACUGAUAGUAUAUCAUUCUGUGAGAGAGAGAGAGAAAUUUUAUUAUCUAAAGUAAUUACUUGGCAUAAAUGUGUUAGUGAUUGAAAGUAAAUCAAUCUCCAUAUCUCACUGUUCAAAUUGUCAAUUCUAUUGCUCUGUGAAUUACAAUGUAUAAAAUUACAUCAGUGGUAAAAAAUUUUAGAAUGUUGAAGGAUAUGUAUAUAUACAUAUAGUAGAGAUGGCUGCUAUCCAUACCAAAAAAAUUUCUUAAAAUGCAAAACAAGUAUCACUGUUUCAGUGUUUCAAAUAAAAGUUUUUAAUAUCCAUUUCGGCCAUCUCUACCAUGUAUGUACUCCAAGUGAAGGACAUGUGUUAUAUUUAUUAGAGGACUUCACUAAAUAUUCUGGUCUACAGAUCUAGUGAAAUGUAAUGUUCUGCAGUUUAAGAGAAUCUUCAGAAUAACUUUUUAGAACAGAGCAUAAUAUUAUAUGGCUACCUUUUCAGUGGUACUGUAGUAUUGUAUGAUUAUCUACAUUGACGAGGCAAAACAAGAACAUAUAACAUAACUGCAGUCUUUUUAUGUGGCAUGACAAGUGUGCUUACAGUACGUUAAUAUACUCAGUUAUUUGAGUCAUCAUGGAGAACCAUUAAGCUGGCUGUCCUCAUUAAGUUUUUUUUUCUUAAUUUUGUUGUUCUUUGAUGAACAGUGAAAGUCUUGUAAGGUAUUUGGGUGGAGUGAUCUUCAUUAUUCCCAAAGUAAAAAAAAAUAAUUUGUUAAUUUUAACAGAGUGUGUUCACUAUUGGUAAAGACAAAUAAGAAAACAUCAGUUUUUGUGUCUUAGAAAUUAAAAAUCAGUUGUAAAAAAUGUUUAGUUAAAUGGUGUUAUUAGAAAUUGUAAAAUAAAUGUGUAACCAAUUGUUACACGAUUUUUUUUUUCUCUGUAAAGACUGUGUUAGUUUAAACAAACGUUUGGCAUUUCAUAAGUUGUUGAUCUGAAGACUUAACUAUAGCCAGUACGCUGUGAAGAGAAAGAAAAAAUAUUUUAAUACUGUUGUGUAUAGUUUAUGAUCAUAGUAGAACAUGGAAGUCAUUACAGUAGCCAAAAAUUGUCUCAAAAUACAUAGAGUAGAUAAAAGACUGACUUUAAAUUAAGACUGAUUUGUUUACAAUGAAAUGAAACUUCAUGUAACAGGGACCUUUUAGUCAUAAAUGAGAAAAUAUUUAAAGUGGCCUUAUUUUGGCAGCCUCCAUCCCAUAGGUAGACUCGUGGUCCUAAUUGUUAAAUGUUUUCUGCUGGUAAACAUAAAAUAAGAUUAAAUUGUCCAUUUUAAAUCACAACAACUGGAAAACUAUUAUAUGUUGAUUCUCUGUAAUGACUUCAUUUUUAAAGUAUGUGUCAUAGACUUUAUCAUUCUUGUCAUAAUUCUAACAAAAUGUGGACCGUGAGCAGUCCUUAUGAUGUUCUCCAGAUGUGCAUUUUGAAAUAAAGCAUUUGACUGAAAUGGUUUUUAAUUUUAGAAAAAAAAAAUAUAUAAACAAUUUUGUCAGGGAUAACGGUACUUAAAAAUUGUUGGCAAAAGGGGGUGUGUGUUUUGCAUCAUUCAAGCAUGUUGAUGUUAAUAUAUAAACUUAGUUAUAUUGUGUGACACUUCCCAAUUUCAGGUGAAUUGCUGUAAUAUUGCCAACUCUAUAAGGUGCAUGAAUUUAGGUGAAAUAUGUGUAGGCAUCAUGAACAAUGAUAAAGUUUAUUGGAAGUUACUUAAGAUACAUAUAAAAAUAUCUUUUAGUAAGCUAUUUAUUUCAUGUAUAUAUAUGUGCAUGUGAUGAGUUGUCAAAGUAACUGGGUUCAUUUCUUUUUUUAUGAGGUGAAUAGGUUUGUAUUGUUUACUUACUUGAAUGCUGCAAAUUUCUAAGUAAUUUUUUUUUUACUUUCAUAGAUUGUUUAACAAUUCAUUAGCACUAAAAUAUUGAAGAAAAAAUUUGAAUGUGACUUAAGUUUGAUUAUAGGUUUAUGUAGAAGUGUUGUUAUGUGACUUAAGUUUGAUUAUAGGUUUAUGUAGAAGUGUUGUUAUGUGACUUAAGUUCAUUAUAGGUUUAUGUAGAAGUGUUGUUAUGUGACUUAAGUUUGUUAUAGGUUUAUGUAGAAGUGUUGUUAUGUGACUUAAGUUUGAUUAUAGGUUUAUGUAGAAGUGUUGUUAUGCGACUUAAGUUUGAUUAUAGGUUUAUGUAGAAGUGUUGUUAUUGAUGGGGCCAAACAGUUUUACCUCUAAAGUACAACUAAAAUUUGUAGUUGAACUAGAUCACAAGUUGUAAGUAAAAUAAUGUAUUUUGAUGUUUUUUAGUGUACUAGAGUCUGAUUAAAAACUAUUAAAAUUGAUGUAUGUAAAAUUUGUUGCAUGUAUAGCAUAUGUAAUGUAUCUUUUUUUUUUAAUGUAAAUUUUGCCUAAUGGAAGCUAAUUAAUUUUCCUUUACAAAUUAUUAAUAUCAUCCUGUACUCGGACUAAAACCUUAUAGAAUUAGUAAUACGGAUUAAAUUUUAUCUUGAUACAGAACAAUUCAGUAAUUUGUUCCUACUAAUGAAAGGUGUGGUUAUUUAGUGUGCUAUCCUUAUCAGUUUUAUUGAUUAUUUUGGUUGCUGUUAUUGCUUAAUCUUGUUUUUAUGUUAUAAUUAACAUUUGGCAACAAUUUAUUAACUACCCUCUAUGUCCCUCUCUCUCUUUUUUUUUUCAGAACAGUACGUUGGAAACCGGUCUUUUUAAAAAAUUUAGCGUUAAAAAUUGUACCAGCACAAUUAAUACAAUAAAUAAAAAACUAGGCAUAAACUCCCCCCCCCCCUGGAAAAUGAGAAAAAUAAUUCCUUAUUUAUUUAUUCAGCUUAUGUAUAUGAUUUUUUUAUUCAGUUCACAGUUUCACAUUACUUUACCCCCACUUUAUAAAAAUUUCUACAGCCUCCCAUGUUUAUAGAAGCUCUUGAUAAAACGACUUCUCAGUUUCUGAUGUUAUAUGUGUUUAUUCCGGCCUGCCUUUGUCUUGUGUUUUCGAUAACACUUCAUUAAUUUAUUCGCGAGGGGAAAACUUUAUCGUUCUUACUCCAUGUGCUAAUUAAAUAAGAUAAUGAGGGGGGAUGGGGAAACGUACUUGUGUAAUAUAUCUUUUUUUUUUUUUUAUAGGCUUAAUACCACAGGUGAACUAAAUGGGGUGAAUUUUUUAAAAUAAAGUAUAGUAAAAUAUAAAUAAUUUUCUUUAUUAAAGCAGAACAGAUUGUAUACAUUUUUAACUGUUAAAAUACAAGCACGUUCUUCCAUUUUAAUAAAAAUUAAAACACGGAUUGUACUUAACCGUUAUGGUAAAUUUAGUUCUUCCGAAUUAUGUUUUCAAAAGUUAUGUUACGUCAUCCUUAAGAUUUUAUUAUUCAAUUUUAAUAGGAAAUAAACGCAAAAGGCCAUUGUUUGUAUUCGUUUAGUUAUAAAAAAAAUAUGUCAAAAUACAGAACUUAAGCCCAAUUAAUAAUAUUUCUAUUACCAUUCUCAUCUAAACCGACGCAAGUAGAACAAAAGAGGCAUUGUAAUAAUAGUUUUUGUAUACAUCUUUACAAUGAGGCCUAACAUUACAUUCAAGAUUCUGGAUUAAAGACUUUUCAACGAGAACGCGUGGGUUUUGUUUUGUUUUUUCAUUCUUUAUACACGACUAGUAUUGUUCUUUCGAUCUGACAAGGUUUUCAUAGCUAUUGAUUAUUUUACAAUGCCUUAAUCUUCCAAAUAACGUUCUUCAUCCUUCUGAUGUUGUUAGCUAAUUUCUAAGUAGAGUAUGAUGUGUAGGCUGACAUCUAUCGUCAAAUAAACGAGUCGAAGGCACAUAUUUUAGUGUAAAAGGCAUAAUUAGUAUGUUUUGUAAAUAUAUUGAAUUGGACAUAAUCUAAGCUCAGUAUAGAAAGGAAAGCCCAAUAUUCUAUGUUUUGGGUUUAUAAAAGUAUAAUUUAAUUUGUAUUGUAUUCAGUUUUGUUAUAUAUUUUCUUGAAGUUUCAGGACAACGUAAGUUUUUCAUUAUGUGUAUUACGUUUUUAUAAUUUAUUCAAGUAAAACAUGUUUAAUAAAAUAUGUGAAAAAUUAUCUUCAAAAACAUGUAACGAGCACUCAUAGUUGGUAUCUGUGUACAAGAGUUUCGACAUCCUGUGAAAAAAA
rnacentral:misc_RNA from 1 species